rnacentral:rRNA from 1 species
UCAGACGAUGCGUCACGCAUAUCAAUAAGCGGAGGAAAAGAAACUAACAAGGAUUCCCCUAGUAACGGCGAGUGAAGCGGGAAGAGCUCAAAUUUGAAAUCUUAAAGGGUUUCCCUUUACGAAUUGUAGUUUAAAGAAGUGUUUUCUGUUGAGGUUUUGGUAAAAGUUCUUUGGAAUAGGACAUCGAUAGAGGGUGAGAAUCCCGUAUUUGACCUUUACUUUCAACUUUGUGAUACACUUUCAAAGAGUCGGAUUGUUUGGGAAUGCAGUCCAAAAUGGGUGGUAAAUUUCAUCUAAAGCUAAAUAUUGGCGAGAGACCGAUAGCGAACAAGUACCGUGAGGGAAAGAUGAAAAGAACUUUGAAAAGAGAGUUAAACAGUACGUGAAAUUGUCAAAAGGGAAGCGUUUGACACCAGUGUUGUUUUUCUGAAAAUCAAUUAAAGAACUGUUUAUGCUAAGCUGUUUAGACUUUAUCAGCUAUCUGUUUAGUUUUGAGCUUUUCUUUAAUGCACUUUUCAGUUAACAAGUCAACAUCAAUUUCUUUUGCUGUAAAAAAGCUUGAGGAAGGUGGCUUGAGAUUCGUCUUAAGUGUUUAUAGCCUCUUGCCUAUGCAGUCGGAGAGAUUGAGGUCUGCAGCGUAGAUCCUUCGGGGCUAAAUGCAUUUGUGCUAAGUUAUAGCAUUUUAUAGACAACUUGUUGACUAUGAUUUGUCUUGUAGCUUACUCGCUUAUGUUAUUUUACCUACGCUUAGGAUGUUGAGCGCAUGUCUCUCUCU